rnacentral:lncRNA from 1 species
ACUUUUGCCACGCAGCGGCGCACACGUUCUCUCCGGAGUGGAAGAAAAAGUAUAACAAAAAUUAUAAAUUUAACUGUGCACAAACAAUAAUACAUAAUAAAAUAAAUAAAAGUAUUAUUAAUACAAAAGUAUACUAAAUAAAUAGUAACAAAUAAAUAAGUAACAAAUAAAACAAUAAAAUACAAGUUUUCUUCUUCUUCGUUGCUGAACGAGCUGCCGAAGCUGCUGCUUUCUUACGCCAGAUGGGGUGUAGUGCGCUGGCGACAUCUAUUGCUUGUUCUGCUCCGUGUGAACAUCUUCAUGUGCAGUUUUAGAGUCAUUGCAUCUCCUUAACUCUGUUAUUUAGCAGACGGACUACUGUUAAAAAUACAACUUUAACGAUUCACUCGAAUGUAUUCAAAUAUCUACAAAAAUGUGAAAAUGUCAAUUCGAUUAUUAUCCAUAAUUUUGUGUUAUUUUUACAGCUUCAGAAAUUGUGGCCUAGAGGCCACACUUGUUUAAGUGUGUAGUCACAGGACCUUGUAUGGUCUUUACAGUCUCUGAGAUUAAUAGUCACGGGUACCUAUAAGCAUUUCUUUCAUGAGUACUUACAGUUUCUUGAUACCAAAGUGGCCAUAUGGUUAAAUUUAAUUUCUAAUACUAUUAUAAUACCUACAAAUACACAGACAUUUUCCAUAAAAACGCUUCCAAAUAUAUUAACUUUGUUUAACAAACACACACAUGCAUUUUCCCACUGCCACGUUCAUCAUUUGACCACAUUGAUUGGCGACCAUCCAGCAACUUGCGAGGGGUCAACUGAGCAUAUUGCCAAUCAGAGACUUCGAUUCAAUUUCCUCGACUUGCCAGAGAGACGAUAAUGGGAAUGGAGCAUAAAAGCCAAGUGCGGGUGUUGCAACGCAAACGAUUCAUUCAAAAUCGGAGCAAUCAAGGCAUCACAUCAGGAUCAGGCCAAGACAACAAAAUUACUUUGAGCAUCGUUAGGACCACAACUCUGACUCCGACUUGCAGUCUCCUUCGUAUUGUCUGGGGGAAAUGCCCGAUCAGAAAGGGCAAGACUGCCCCCGUCACAGGGCUGAUGAAGGGGAAAAACAUGAAAAUCAUCUUUCGUGGCAGGCAGCAUCGAAACACCAAGACACCAAUCGCAAUCAGGUGAGGUGGAAGGUGGGAGGUGGAUGACGCGGCGUCCAGGCUGCAUAUGUGAGGCUGUCCGGUCCAGGCCCGGCCAAGUCUUUCACGUGCGGAGAGACAACCCAAAGAAGAAGACUCUCGACUGCUUUUUAUUUUGCUGCCGGCGCUGUCCACAAAUGCAAUACACGCAACGCUGCCAUGGCGGAGCAUCCAGUUCGACAUCAACUGGUUUUCUGCAUCCAGCCCCCUCCAACCCACCACGCAGCACUCACGAACCUUUUCAAUGUGAAAAUCAUAUAAAGAUUUUGAAACCAUUUUGAGUUGCAACUAUUUAGGACAGUAAAACAUUUAAUGCCAUUUAUCUUAUUAAUAUGAACACUAAGGAGAGUCAAAAUUGAGUAUCUACUGUAUUAAUAUUUGAGUUCGUAACACCUACUAUAAAUGUAUAUAUUAUUUGUUGGACAAUGGAAACUUUUCUCACACAAGGCACCUCCUUAAGCGCCUCGUCUAAGCUGUUGCAAGAGCAAUGCAAACACACAGUUUGCUCGCUCAGUUUUAGCUCCGUUCUGAUUCCGUCUCUGUCUCUGUAGCUGUCCUUAUUUUCCUGUCCGUCUGUUGAUGUUCCUGUCUCCGGCUCAUUGUUCGUCUCGGUUCAGUUUGGUUUGGUUCCGUAAAUUACACUUUUGAUUUUUAGUGGCCGUAAAAUAAUCGUAAAUGUCGUGGUUAUUGCGACCGAAAGUGCCCAUUUUGAGUGCUGCUGCUGCUGCUUUCUGUUGCUCCUCCGUAUCACCCCUCUAUAACUGAUAUUUCAGCCAACUCGGUGCAGUGUGCGGACAUGGGACGGCCACCAAGUUGGUUGGGAACGUGCUGCCACUGCACAAGCAGCACGAAUCCCUCCACUCCCCUGCCCACUCUAUCCCCGCGGGGGGCACGUUGCACUUGUUGUUUUUAAUAAGUUUGUGGCGGUUGUUGUUCCUGGCUUUCUUCUGCCUGGCUGAUGCUCCCUUGAUGUUUCGAUUAAGUUCGGAGUUCGCUUCGUCGAACUGGUUGGAUGGGUCUGAGUCUGAGUCUGAGUCUGGCCUGUCCCUGCCACAGCCACUGCUUCUUCCUCCCUCUCUGAGGGAGCAGUUUGGCUUAAGUUUAUGGCCAUUUCGUUCGUUUCACUGUCUUGCGGUUUCGAUGUUGCUUGUGGGGCUUGGCCGUUCCUCUGCCUGUGGAGCUGCCGUCGAGCUGAUUUUCUUGAGCAUUUCACCCAUUUACCUUUAUAUAUUUCGGCUUGUUCAAGACAUUUUCUCACAUCGCAGCUCACGGGGCUCCUCUGCCACACGGCUCUUCGUCUCUGACGCAACUGGUUGCCCAUUGGCCCGCCAGCUCUCUUCUCUACCACGCUCCAUGCACUCUACACUCAAAAAUUUCGAAUUUGAUUUUAUUGUUAUGAUUUCAAUUGUUUUCCCAAUGUAAACACUGGAGAGUGCCAGCACAGAGAGGGCCAACAUGUCGGGUUUUCGGUUAAAUAAUGCUCGAUUUUUAUGAUAGUUUCAAGUUCUACGCGAAUCGUUAGUCAGAGUCUACUUAGGUUGAACGAGGACGAGGCCCGCAAGCUCCUUUGAGGCAGAUUUUCAAACGCUCCAAAUCGACUUUAGCUGGGAGAAACUUUCAUCUUGCAAAUGAGCGAAGAAAGCACAAAUUUCUACCAUUUACCUACCAUGCAAAUUAUUAAAUUAUUCUCAUCUAAUGAUGCAUUUGUCCUACGACUGCCCAGAGGACGGCCUGAUUUAUAGAUUCUAAGUACUGCUUAUCCACCUUAUUAGCAUUCUCAGAUCAUUUCUAUACAAGUCACAUUAGAACGCCCAAUUUCACGAGAACAAUUAUGGGCUGGGCCGCCGGAGGUGAUCAUAAUACCAAUAUGCUCCGGCUAGGCCCUGGCAGGACCCGAAGGUCGAAAGAAAGAAUGAACGAGACGGGACGAUCGGCGUUGAGGGGUCCGGUGCGGACUGGAAACCAAAUCAAUUCAUAAAUCAUAAAAAUGUGUCAUAAAAAAUAUUUGUGUCGCCUUCAAUAAUAACAGCCAUAAAUGGAAAUGGCAGUGGAAACGGAAAAACAACAGCCACAGCCAGGCAGGAGUAUGAAGCUGCCUUUCAACAUGUCCUCGAGAAAGUAAAAAACGCUCAAGGCAAAAGGAGAAGGGAGAAGACUUGUUGGGUGACCUUAGGAGAUUUGUUUUGACUUCUAUCCGAGGCCUGUUAUCGCAUCUCGCCAGAGCCACAACGAUCCCAAAAGAGGACACACAGGACACGGCACAAAUACGUUGGUAUUGUCUGCCUUUGCCAGUUCGAUUAUUGCCGCCUCGGUAAUAAAUCAUAAAAAUAUGUUUAGUCGCAGAGAUGUGAGUAGGGAAUGCUGCCUCGUUACACGGUGGAAUUGGAAUUGUAAAUCCCCUGUAAAAUUGCUCUCGCCCUGCUCUGUAUGCUCAACUCUGCGGUGGUGGCAUCUCUCCAGCAUGGUAUCCCUCUGUAGGUACGACGAUCGCGCCCUCGAGCAUCUGAUAACAAAACCACCAGCAUGGCCAAUGCCCAUGGAAACAAAGGCCAGCAACUUUCUCUUUGGCAUCAUCUGAUUUGGGCCGCAUUCAUCCUCGAGCGUUGCCUUGCCAAAUAUGAGCAUUUUGAUUUAUUUUCGAAAUAUUCUCUCCUCUGAAGAUUUAUUGAUGUGCUGUUGUCAGUAAGAGGCGCCUGGAAUUGUGUUCCUGUGUUCUCCUGUAUCUGCAUUGAAAUUGCGAACUGGAAAGUAGGGGCUGAGCAUUAACACCAUAUUUGUAGCUUAAUAACUUGGCUGAUAAGGCCCCCAAUUAUACAUAAUAUCAUCCAUUAUAAUUUUAAUAAACUCUUGCCUUUGUUUCUUUCUAAUCCGCAGCACAUUAACACUUCCCAUUGGACAGAGAUGGCUUCAUUUUCAGGCCAUGCACGCCAUAUGCAACUUGAGUCGUCUUGCCACAGAUGUCAGUGCUGUACUUGCAGUUGCACCCGCUCAUUCUCAGGGCUGGCUCCACAUGAUUUACUACAAGCAGAUGAUUUAAUGUAACCGCACAUACAUACGUACACGAUACACGAACAUGGGGCAGGCCACUUCAGAUCCAGCCCAGCCCAGACACCCCACAUGUGUUGCAACCGAAGCGUUGCAGCAGUUGAAAGAAGAACCCCGAGACGGCAGUGACGGUGUCCUCCAUCUUGAAAACUGAUGCUUCGAUGAAGCGGCAGAGGAUUCCAUUUAGCAGCGAGAGGUUGAUGAAACAGCAAAUAAACAAAAUCUAAGUAGAAUCUUACAUGUACGCCAACCCUUUCCCGGAAGAGUGCGUUAAUCAGGGUGUCAACGAGCUGCGACCUUGCCGAGAGAGUCCAUUCAGAUGCUGGCCAAAAUACAACAUCAAAACAAAUCGUUAAAAUGCAAUAAAACUCUCAGAGAUGGAGGAGUCCGCAUCCAUAUGCAAUCACUAAACAAGAGCCAAGGCAAAUGCAUUCGAAUAAAAUUUUACCACCAUUUCCUCGAGCAUCAUCAGCAGCAGGAGCAUCAUCAAACUAACGGCGGCAACAUCCGAGGCACCUCAUAAAAGUAAUGACGUCUAUGGCCCAUCAGCAUCUGAUAGAAGCUGAUAGAUACAUUUGUAUCUGCGCACGGAGGCGAGCGGAGGGAUAUCACAAUAAUUAUGGCAUACGUCACGGAACUUGGGUUUUUAUAUCUUUUAUAUUGAUUGUCAUCGUGUCACACUAACAGAUCGUAAAAAAGUCGUAAAAUCCGAAGACUCUCGCUCUGACUCUGCUCCUGUCCGGGCCAAUGGAUGGGCGAGUGAGUGCAUUACCAGAGUGAGCGAUGAAGUCCUCAUCCCUUGGGCUCACAAAACACUCAGGAUCGGGCAGGACCUCAAGCCGACUCCAACUCACACAGGGACAAGCGGAUGAUGAUGAGCUGGAUCGUUACCGUUCUGAGCUCUCAGUUCUGAGUGAUUUUCAGUCUCUGCCGCUCGAGGGGAAGUGGCGUCAAGUCGUAAAAAGGCCAUAAAAUGCUUGGCCUCUGUGUUGGUACUAACCGCAAUUUGUUUAUAUUGUUGUUAAAAUGCCGUUCCAUCUUGUUCUGCUUAGCAUUUAAUUGUCGACUGCCAGCUUUUCUUUUUACGAGCCAAUAAAAUCUAUUUAAC